GUAGUCCGCACGAGCGCACCCACGUUUUUAGUUGCCAGCAUUCAGUUGGGCACUCUAAAGAGACUGCCGGUGACAAACCGGAGGAAGGUGUGGACGACGUCAAGUCAUCAUGCCCCUUACGCCUUGGGCUACACACGUACUACAAUGCUGCGGACAAAGAGUAGCGAUCUUGCGAAAGUUAGCUAAUCUCGUAAACCGUGGCUCAGUUCAGAUCGUAGGCUGCAACUCGCCUACGUGAAGGAGGAAUCGCUAGUAAUCGCAGGUCAGCAUACUGCGGUGAAUACGUUCCCGGGCCUU
rnacentral:rRNA from 1 species